GACGAACGCUGGCGGCGUGCUUAACACAUGCAAGUUGAACGGUGAAGCUCCAGCUUGCUGGAGUGGAUCAGUGGCGAACGGGUGAGUAACACGUGAGCAACCUGCCCCUGACUCUGGAAUAAGCGCUGGAAACGGCGUCUAAUACUGGAUACGAGAAGGGUCCGCAUGGGCACUUUCUGGAAAGUUUUUCGGUUGGGGAUGGGCUCGCGGCCUAUCAGCUUGUUGGUGAGGUAAUGGCUCACCAAGGCGACGACGGGUAGCCGGCCUGAGAGGGCGACCGGCCACACUGGGACUGAGACACGGCCCAGACUCCUACGGGAGGCAGCAGUGGGGAAUAUUGCACAAUGGGCGAAAGCCUGAUGCAGCGACGCCGCGUGAGGGAUGACGGCCUUCGGGUUGUAAACCUCUUUCAGCAGGGAAGAAGCGAAAGUGACGGUACCUGCAGAAGAAGCACCGGCUAACUACGUG
rnacentral:rRNA from 1 species